GCAGGCUGUGCACCAAGACAGCUCUUCCCCAUGGGCUUUUUCAGAGAGAAGGGACUUCAGGGUCAAGUGAGAGCCUGUGACAACUUGGGCUAGGGGACAUGAGCAAUAACAGUGCUGCCAACUCACCGUGGAGUCUGCCCCAUCCAGCACGUUUUGUAUCAGUCUUUUCAGCUCGCUGAGAGCUGCCCGUAGGCUGCCGGCCGGGACAUCUUUGGCUGAUGAGGUUUCUGAAGACUCAUCCAUGGAGGAGUCCGUGGAGACGGCGGAGUCUGCGCUGUCGUUUCCUCUGAGAUGGGAGCAGAGAUACCGCACUUGGCAAUAUGCUUCCCAGAGCUGCAGCCUCAGCUGGAACGAGAGAGCCCCAGCUCCUCUGCCUCCAUGCUCUGCUCUAUCUCAGACAGCAGGGACGUGCUGGUUGUGUUGAAAUUUUGGAGACUUCUCUCCUCGCUGAGCUCCUCUACCUUCCCCUGCAGCUGCCGGUAGGACAGCCGCACCUCCUGGAGCUCCAGCUGGCUUUGGUGCAGCUUCCAAAGGAAAUUAAGGAAGCAGAGGAAACAGUGUUAGUGAUACGGACUGGAUGAAUCUCUUGAUUCAUGAAGGAGCUGAAGAGGUGGCAUGAAAGAGGGUUUCCAGCCAGAAGGAAAAUACUCUUGGCUGAUGUUACUGUUUAUUGGAGCUUAAUAAUCUCCAAAUGUUAUUAGACACUGCUUGGGCUCCAGAAUAUCCUGGAAGGUGAAAUCAGCAGGUUAAUCAGUGCUAAAAUGAGGACCAUUGUGAAGAAGCUGUGACUCGGGUGAAAAAAGCUUACUAAAACUGACACAACAGAAACUGAACCAAAGAAAGAAAAACAGUAGAAAAACACCUUGAAAUAAGCCUCCUUAUAACUGUAAACAUCCUGCCACAAAACUCCCUCAUUCACUGCUUUGCAACCUGAGCUAAUGGAGUGUUUGAAACACACAAGACGCAACGUUGGCAUUGAUUUGUUUUGGGGUUUAUCUGUGGUCACCCAACUGUGUGAUUCUGUAGGCACUGAGAUGCAGUCUGCCUGGGCAGGAGCUGUGCACGGGGCUGGGGCACAGCCAGGUGUCGUGUGAGCAGCAGAGCUGAACGUGCUGGGGAGGAUGCUGCUGUCUGACACAUCAACAGCUUUCUUGUUCCUCUAAGGAGGGGGGAAAAAAAGAUUCUGGCUGUUCUGAAGAGCUGGGGGUGCAAGCAGUUGUCAGAUGUGAAGAAAAAGUGAAGUGAGGUUAAACUGUGCUCUCCAAGAAGAUGCCCAAAGCUACAGCCAUGACAGCUUUUUCUCCAGGGAGUGACAUUUGGUGAGAUGGAGCUUGCUGGGAAACCACCUGAGCUAUGAGAGCCUCACCGUCCUCCAGGCUAGAGUGAAUGAGCCCCUUCUGGAGCCAGUGCUGCUAUUAAAACAUUGAGUAAUAUGAAACACAAUCAGUGUUUUCUGCUUCCUUUUACAUUUCCCUUCUUCUCCCAGCCUCCCUUCCUGUUCCUUUGCUCAGCUCUCACCCCAAAUUGCUCUUUGUAUCAAGAUACUCCAUCUUUUUUUCCAUCUCUAUGGAGAACAGAUCCUUGUAUUUUAUUCUCUCAUAGAAUCAUGGAGUUAUUAUGGUUGGAAAAGACCUCUAAGAUCCCCAAGUCCAACCCCAGCCCACCUCACCAUGCCCAAUAGUCCCAACAUCCCUCAGUGCCACAUCUCCACAGUUCUGGAACACCUCCAGGGAUGGUGACUCCACCACUCCCUGAGCAGCUGUGCCAAUGCAUCACCACUCUUUUCCUCCUAAUAUUUAACCUGAACCUCCCUGGUGCAACUUAAGGCCGUUCAGUUCUUCCAUCUCCCCAUUCCUCGUUAUCUUUCCGGUUGAUUUUACCCCAAACCACAUCCUCGGGCCAUUUCCCACCUCCUGCCCUCUUCCCUCUCCCACUGCUGCCUUCUCACCUGCAGGUCCUUGUCAUGGCUUUGUCUCUCCAGGAUGAGGACUCGGUCCUGCAGCUCCUCCACGGUUCCCUGAAGCAGGUCGUUCUCCUCCAUCAUGGCACUGAGGCGAUGCUCCAGCUCUCGCUUUCUGUCCGUCAGCAUUUUGAUCUGCAGAGGGAUGAGAGCUGGUGUUGGACCCCAUACUUUCCAGGAAGUGUAGAUGAAGGAAACCACGUCCCCAUGAGAGAAAUGAAGCAGAAAAAAACCCACCAAAAUAUACGUGUAUGCAUUCAGCACCUGUGUGCAGGAGGAAAACUGCUACCCCUUCUACCCUAAAACUUGCAAGAAUGAAACUAGCUACUUCUCCAGGUCCAUCCCUGCCUGUGCAGAUGGUGGGAUUUUCUUCUGCAUGGAUGCUGGAGAGCACAGGGAGAGCCCCCGAGCUCCCUGUGGGGCUGUGCAAUGCACUGCCUGCAUGCUUUUCUUAACUGCUGAACAUUCACCAGGUUCUCACCGGGGAUUUGUCUGUCUUUUUAUUCAUGAAGGCUCCUUUCUGUGCCACACUUCUUUUUAAUUUCCCAGAGAUGGGCUGCCUUUAAAAUUGGUUCAUUUCUUUUAAUUGUCAAGGGCAGUGAUUUUAGGUGAGGAGGGACAACGUGCCAAGCAAAACCUCUGUGAUUCACUUAGCUGGGACCGGUGCACAGGAUGAAUCAGCACCAGCCAAGGUCACUUUUUGUUUAACCAAGAAAAAGGAACCUUUUUUUCCAGAUUUGUGCACACGGGACCUUUGAGGACUGUGUAUGCUGUUCUCUGUUCCAGUACAACCCUAAAUAUGCCCUAUGGUCUCCUUUCAACAUGGAUGACAGACAAACGUGGCACGUCCCGCUGUUUUCUUGGCCUCCAUGGGCUCCUUUUGUUGUUCUCCAGGCUGCUGGAAAUGUUUGGCUGCAUGAAGGAAUAUUAGCAAA